AGAAAAACUGGAGCAUCUCUUCCCAGGCAUUUCAUCAGGUUUUGCAGAAUAAAGAUGUCUCUGAUACUUGAAAUGCGCUGCUCCACUAGUAACCUGAUGGAGAAACACACACAAAAGCUCUCCUCAUUCCAGCAGAAACAGGCAAGUUCUGAAACAGACAGGAAACUGGAUGUCAGGAAUGGACACAGACAACAACUGGAUGCAAGUGAUGAAUAAAACCAAACAGACAGUGCUGUGGGCUGAACAGGAGAUAAUAAGGAGAUCAUCCACACAAGAUGAAG